AUCUGCUCUAUCAAAGAUAACAUCUACAGGUGCAAUGACUUAUUGCUUCAUCCAAGCCAUUGAGCGUGGACAAGGGACUACAUAUGGGAGCAUUCUCAAUUCAAUGCGUGCUGCCAUCCGAAAUACUGGUAAUGACCUUGGCGGUGGGGCUGUGACAUCUCUUCUCACCAUGCUUUUGACAGGAGGCAGUAUUGGUGGGGGACUGAGACAGGAGCCACAAUUGACUGCCUGCCAGCCAUUUGAUGUAUAUACCAGACCUUUUUCUUUCUGAAGUUUGAAUAAAAGUAGACAUUGAUUAUAACUGGAUAUAAAGGAAGUGGUUUUCAUCUUAAUUUGUUUGCAACUGACUGGCUGUUUUGUAGAACAAGAUUCGUCGCGAUCCUCAUUGUGUCACAUCUUUUACUUUGUUUUGCACAUCACAUUUAUGAAGAGGAGGAAUGUGCCAAACAAAGUAAAAGAUGUGACACAAUGAG
rnacentral:misc_RNA from 1 species